CAGUACCUGCAAUUCCAGUUGGCAGACAUGGCCACCAAGCUGGUUGCCUCCCGGUUGAUGAUCCGCACGGCAGCAGUGGCUUUGCAGGAGGAGCGGGAAGAUGCAGUGGCCCUGUGUUCCAUGGCCAAGCUCUUUGUUACAGAGGAAUGCUUUACUGUAAGUGAUAGGUCUUUUGCCUUCCUGAGACAGACAGGAAGCAGCUGUCUACGGGAUCCUGAGAGAGAUGACUCAUCUAGAGAUCCCUAUCCUCCUGAGGCACUGAAGGAAUCACUUUGGGCAUUAAGGAUGAGAUGAAUUUGUGAAAGGGCUGCAUGGGAGCUCUUCCUGCUGCUCUCGUAGCCUUCUCCACGCUGUCAAAUGCAUCAGUAUGGCUCUGUCUUUCGGAAGUGUUGGAGAUGAGGCACAUCUCUGUAAGGUUCAGACAGCCCAGUGACACUAACCCAAACUUAGCACCAAUCACCAUAUUUACUUCCUCACACACAGAGCUGUCUCUGCAUGAGACUUCUUUGUCACUAGGUGGCACCUGAACUUCCUGUAGUCAGUCAGCGUGGUUGUAAGACAGCAUAAAAGGAGAAAAGCAAAUGUCUGUGCACUGUCUGACUGGCAGGAAUUGACUGGACCAGUAGGAGGGCUGGCUGCCUUUGUGUCUGACCGCUAGAAUCUGGAGCUCCUCU
rnacentral:lncRNA from 1 species